UCGCUUUGGCAGCACAUAAACUAAGAUUGGAACGAUACAGAGAAGAUUAGCAUUGCCCCUGCACAAAGACGACACACAAAUUCGUGCCAUAUUUUUAGGUUAU